rnacentral:siRNA from 1 species
AAGCUUCCAUAACCUCCUCUUC